UACGUAGGGGCAAGCGUUGUCCGGAUUUAUUGGGCGUAAAGAGCUCGUAGGCGGUUUGUCGCGUCUGCUGUGAAAACUGGAGGCUCAACCUCCAGCCUGCAGUGGGUACGGGCAGACUAGAGUGCGGUAGGGGAGAUUGGAAUUCCUGGUGUAGCGGUGGAAUGCGCAGAUAUCAGGAGGAACACCGAUGGCGAAGGCAGAUCUCUGGGCCGUAACUGACGCUGAGGAGCGAAAGCAUGGGGAGCGAACAGG
rnacentral:rRNA from 1 species